UCGGGUGUGGUGCACGGUGCACCGCUGCAAUCUGUGCGAUGGCGAAUUUGCGAAUUUCAAAGUGAAAGCAGCAGGCCGGGGUUCGACUCCCCGCACCCGAA